rnacentral:misc_RNA from 1 species
UUGAGUAUCUUGCAACUACCACCCCAGUGGUAACUGUGGAAUUCUAUACAAAGGCAUAAGAUAAGACAGGUCUCGAAGCAUUCGUAGAACACAAGUGUUCAUAGGUCUACCAAUCAAGUAUGAGUUCACCGGAAGAUAACAAGAUGUUCUAUGAUGUGCAACCUAACCCUCCAGCUGAUGAGGAGUAUGUGGUCAUUUCAACGA